UACGUAGGGUCCGAGCGUUGUCCGGAAUUAUUGGGCGUAAAGAGCUCGUAGGCGGUUUGUCGCGUCUGCUGUGAAAUCCCGAGGCUCAACCUCGGGCCUGCAGUGGGUACGGGCAGACUGGAGUGCGGUAGGGGAGAAUGGAAUUCCUGGUGUAGCGGUGGAAUGCGCAGAUAUCAGGAGGAACACCGAUGGCGAAGGCAGUUCUCUGGGCCGAUACUGACGCUGAGGAGCGAAAGCGUGGGGAGCGAACAGG
rnacentral:rRNA from 1 species